rnacentral:rRNA from 1 species
CGGUACCAGCAGCCGCGGUAAUACGUAGGGUGCGAGCGUUGUCCGGAAGUUACUGGGCGUAAAGGGCGUCGUAGGUGGUUUGUCGCGUCGUCUGUGAAAUUCCGGGGCUUAACUCCGGGCGUGCAGGCGAUACGGGCAUAACUUGAGUACUGUAGGGGUAACUGGAAUUCCUGGUGUAGCGGUGAAAUGCGCAGAUAUCAGGAGGAACACCGAUGGCGAAGGCAGGUUACUGGGCAGUUACUGACGCUGAGGAGCGAAAGCAUGGGUAGCGAACAGGAUUAGAUACCCUGGUAGUCCAUGCCGUAAACGGUGGGCGCUAGGUGUGAGGGUCUUUUCACGACUUUCGUGCCGUAGCUAACGCAUUAAGCGCCCCGCCUGGGGAGUACGGCCGCAAGGCUAAAACUCAAAGGAAUUGACGGGGGCCCGCACAAGCGGCGGAGCAUGUGGAUUAAUUCGAUGCAACGCGAAGAACCUUACCUGGGCUUGACAUACACCGGAUCGGGCUAGAGAUAGUCUUUCCCUUUGUGGCUGGUGUACAGGUGGUGCGUCGACGCGGCCG